rnacentral:lncRNA from 1 species
AAAAGCCCGGCAAGAAGUCUACUUUUCCUCCCUGAUAUACUGUUCAUCUUCCAGCUCAGGCAGAGCCCGAGCCAGCCGUGCCGUGCACAGUGCCGCCGCCUCCUCCUUCCAAAUCUCGCCUCCCCGUUGCUCCUUUUUCCAAUUUAGUUGAGGGGAAAUAUUCCUCUUAUCCUCCUCUAUCUUUACCCCAAAAAUCGGAGCUAAUCGUUGAGUAUCUUAUCCGAAUCGAACUCGUUUUCGAGUUUAUCUCCAAAACCGAGUUUUUGAUUUCCCGGAUCGAUUUCUUGCGGGAGGAGUCCGAUCUCUUCAAUCCAAGGCUAUAAAUAGGACCCCCUAGUCCUCCUCUUUCGUUUGCCCCUCUCCCGUGAUCUCCCGUGCCUCGUAGCGCCGCCGCCACGUGCUCCACCCCGCCAUCGUCGCCGGCCGAGCUCCAUCCGUGUCGCGCCGCCGCCUCCGCCGUUGCCGCCGGUCGCCGUCACCGCCGUAAGGUGCGCCGAGGUGUGGGCAAGCUCGGCCGCUCCCUCCCCGCUGUCGCCGGUCACCGCAGCUCCGGCGCCACCGCCGACCGAAGCCGCCCCCGCCGUCCACCUCGUCGCCGGCCGUCGUCGUUCGUCGUUUGGUUCGAGGGUGAGUACCGUUGGGUUCGUCUCGUCGUCUUCUACGUGUACAUGUCCUCCAAAGUCGCAGCCGACCAUCCAAUCUCCGGCGAGGUCGCCAUCUUGGUUUGGCCAUUGAUGAGGUCAUCAUGACGUCAUCAUCGUUUUUCUUUUUCCUGUUUUUCUAAUAGAUUAAAUAUUCGGAAAUUCAUAACUAAAUCAUCGUAACUCGGUUUUGAGUGGUUCAAGUUGCUAAAUUCAUCUAAAAUCAUGAUCUACAUGUUUGUUUACUUUAUAUGUACUGUUUAUGCUUGUUUUUGUACUGUUUAUUUGGUUUUUAUUAGUCUUUUUCUUCGUUUUGCGUGUUAGCUUGUCGUUUCCGUCGUUGCGAAGGUUCGUGAGUGCGUCGGGAGUGUUCAGAAGAUUAAUUGAAGACCGAUUAUUGCAAGGCAAGUCACACAGAUCCUAAAUACAAUCCUUUGAGCAUGUUGAUCCUAUAUUUAAAUUCCCUAUUUAUUUCAAGUGUGUAUUUAUUUUCGAAUGUCACUGGGUGGUGUGAAUCUAUUCCUUUGUUAUGGCCUGUUUGCAUUGAUUACUCUAUUCCUUGAUACCUUGGGAUAUUAUAAUUUGACUAGUUGAGCUUUAUAUAUAUUGGUUCAACUAGAUGUUAGAUAUAAUUGCUUAGCCAUGCUUAGAAACAUUAGCUCACUAAUAGGAUGAAUCAUAUAUACUACAUUAUUAUUUAUGGAUAUAUUUAAUGGUAGCUCACGAUGGUUAAUCGUGUUAUGAUAAUUAAUUGGUAAUUAAAAUAUGAUUAAUGGUGGGUUGUGAGCACAUGGUUUUGAAGGUCGUGUUCAUGGCAAUUAAGGACCGGUUCACGAGCUACUGUUGUUGUGAAACAUUAAUCGUGCCAACCACAAGCCAGCGUGGGCAACGGCUUUACCUUUUGUAUAGCAUGGUUCAUUGCGGAGCACCAGACUGAGAAGUGGCGGAGAUAAGCCCAUGGGGGUCGCUGGGGAGUCCAUGCCUUGUUUUAUAAGGGGGUGAUUAUGAUCCAGGAAUGGUGCACUGUGGUGAGUUGUGUUGUACAGAGGGUAUUGUCACAGCCUCUAUUCGGGUACCUUCUAGUAUCGCGACACAUGGUAGACAUGAUGUUGAGGCUGUGUCUUGUGGGUACAGUGGUACACCUCUGGCCAGAGUAAAACUAUUCGAAUAGCCGUGUCCGCGGUUAUGGGCGAGUUGAGCAAUGUUUUUCGUGAUUAGUCUCAUGCCUCUCACAAUAAUUAUUGAUGCUAUAACUGGUAAUAAUUUGUUUAGCUCCUGGUUUAGAGUUAGAUCUGUACAGCCGGGUAUGGUUGUUCAGAAUGGUUGGGCCUGAGCAGCAUGGGCGUGUUGUUCAGUGUUGAUUGAAAUUAAUGAUUAAAUUACUCUACUGUUUUAUUACUCUUAAAUGUUUGCUAAAUGCUGCUUUUGCAAAUGAGCCUAUAUUAUGCCAUCCUUUGGUAUCCUUGUGCACUUGCAUAUUUGCUGUGUGGCUUGUUGAGUAUGUCAUAUGCUCAUUCUUGCAAUAAUCAAUCAACCUCAGUUGAAGAAAAAGGAUCCAGAAGGAGAAGACGUUUGGCUUAUACCCCAGUUGAGUUGCCUGUGGGAGUGGAGCUGAAGCCAUCGCUAGACCGUUAAUUCCGCUGCUGUUUUUCUUUUGUUUUGUAAGUAUGUAACGUUAUUAUUAUGAUGGAUUUGUAUAUUAAAUUGUCAGUUUAUGUACCUCGGCUGAUUCCUGGACGAGGAUUUUAUGCACAAAUUAGUUCGGAAAUUAUUAGUGAAUUUCCGGGCGUGACAAUAGGCCUAAAAGUAUGACAUUCGUGUAUAUUUUAAAUUUGUGAUCUUAAUUGAUCAAGUUAUGCUAAAAUUAUUUUUGCUACCAGAGGUAGCUUAUUAAUAACAAAGACG